CAAAUGCCCUAAGACAGCAAAGGCGCAAAUUCGUUAAACAAGACGUAGGAAAAAGGCCAAAAAGGAGAAGCAGCGCGAUAACUGCUAGGGUUUCUCUCGUCUGCAAACUUCCCCCGGUAUCAUUGACAACAUGUCUCGUGUGUAUGUGGGUAACUUGGACCCUCGAGUUUCUGAGCGUGAUCUUGAAGAUGAAUUUCGCAGAUUUGGAGUUAUAAGAAGUGUAUGGGUUGCACGGAGGCCUCCAGGUUAUGCAUUUAUUGACUUUGAUGAUAAAAGGGAUGCGGAGGAUGCAAUUCAUGAAUUAGAUGGUAAAAAUGGUUGGAGAGUUGAGCUUUCUCACAACUCUAGAGGUGGUGGUGGUGGCCGUGGAGGGGGUCGUGGUCGAUCUGGUGGUUCUGAUUUGAAGUGUUAUGAAUGUGGUGAACCUGGUCAUUUUGCACGCGAAUGCCGUUUGCGUGUUGGUGGUGGAAGACGACGUAGCCGCAGCCCUAGAUAUCGUAGGAGUCCAAGCUAUGGUCGAAGGAGCUACAGUCCCCGUGGACGAUCCCCCAAACGCCGCAGCAUUUCACCUCGUGGCCACAGCUAUAGCAAGUCUCCACCAUACCGUGGUCGUGAGGAGCUGCCUUAUGCCAAUGGAUGAACCAGAUCAUAGAACCCAGGUGGUCCAGCGAAUCUGGCAACUAUGGGUCGGUAGUUUGGUGGAAGGAAAUGGUACAAGGGAUAGACGCCGAAGCAGGAGCUGAGAUUUGCAACCUACAUAUAAAUAGCUUUGCUGGAUGCUAAGAUUAAGUGUGUUUAUUAUGUUUGGACUUCAGUACGACUAUGUUUUAAAUGGGCAACGCCCUCAGCCUCUUGGAUUUGGAUAAGUUUCUUAUACUUAUUACUAUUUGGUUACUUUUCUUAAGGUAUGCAGAAUAGGUUUAGGACUUUUGCUGGCUAAACUUUCAAUAGGUAUUUUUUAUGAGUUUAUUGAGACAAAUUGUCCCUAAGACUGGUGCUAAAAAAUUUAUGCUUUUCUUUU